GAAAUGCGAUAAGUAAUGUGAAUUGCAGAAUUCAGUGAAUCAUCGAAUCUUUGAACGCACAUUGCGCCCGCCAGAAUACUGGCGGGCAUGCCUGUUCGAGCGUCAUUUCAACCAUCGAGCCCCCCCGGGGCUUGUGUUGGGGACCUGCGGCUGCCCGCAGGCCCUGAAAACCAGUGGCGGGCUCGCUGUCACUCCGAGCGCAGUAGUAUCACCUCGCUCAGGGCGUGCUGCGGGUUCCGGCCGUUAAAACACCCAUUACCCCCCAAGGUUGACCUCGGAUCAGGUAGGAAUACCCGCUGAACUUAA
rnacentral:misc_RNA from 1 species